GAUGAACGCUAGCUACAGGCUUAACACAUGCAAGUCGAGGGGCAGCAUGAAGUUUGCUUGCAAACUUUGAUGGCGACCGGCGCACGGGUGAGUAACGCGUAUCCAACCUGGCCCGCAGUAGGGAACAGCCCGGCGAAAGUCGGAUUAAUGCCCUAUGUCUUCCUUUGCAGGCAUCCAAUGAGGAAGAAAGAUUUAUCGCUGCGGGAUGGGGAUGCGUCUGAUUAGCUUGUCGGCGGGGUAACGGCCCACCGAGGCGACGAUCAGUAGGGGUUCUGAGAGGAAGGUCCCCCACACUGGUACUGAGACACGGACCAGACUCCUACGGGAGGCAGCAGUGAGGAAUAUUGGUCAAUGGGCGAGAGCCUGAACCAGCCAAGUAGCGUGCAGGACGACUGCCCUAUGGGUUGUAAACUGCUUUUAUGCGGGGAUAAACUUCAGCACGUGUGCUGUUUUGCAGGUACCGCAUGAAUAAGGACCGGCUAAUUCCGUGCCAGCCGCCGCCGUAACAC
rnacentral:rRNA from 1 species